GCUUACACAGCAGACACAGUUUUUUGAGGUGACACAUAUUCCUAAAAAGAGUUCUUCCAGUCUGCAGCAAUGAUACACCCUUUAAUCAUCGCCAUUGUGACCGUAAACACCUCUCUAACCAUCGUCUACUGGGCCUUCAUGCUGAGUGAUGCUUACUCCAAGUGGCUGAUGGAGCAAGAAGACAAACCCAAGAAGGUGGUCACCCCGGCCUGAGGGAGUCACAGUCAAUAUGGACUGACUUAUUUAUUGGGUGUCUUGGGUUUUUAUUUUGCUUAGUGAGCAAGAGCUGUUCAGCUUCUAGUGCUUUCUGUGGAGUCUGAUUUUGCAAUGGAUCUGCUUGUCUGUGUCACCUGGAGAGGACUUGGAAACUAAACGUACACCUUUUACUGAACUGAAUGGAUCCUGCAAGUGAAAGAGAAAAUCCGUCUUACAGAGCCGUUUGUAUACGACACAUGCCAAUUUGGAAGUCCUUUCAUUUACAAGUCAAAGAAAAGAUCUGUGGAGCAGUAUCUGUAGUCUUGACUACGAGACUGGAUUCUUGGCCCCAAACCAGUGGAGGAUGAUUCAGAGGAAGGGAGAGCAGAAAUAGAAGAAGAGCGCCGCCGACUGAGCAUUUGCAGUAAGCUGAUGGAGAGAGACGGGCUGCAGAUGGAAAAGGACGGACUGCUGCCCGGUUUCUACCAGGGAGACGGAGGCUGCUAUCGUCCAUCCGUCCCUCCUCCACUGAGAUGCUCCAUUCCGGCAUCAUACCCCAGAGAAAAA